GUGUUAUGUCAAAGAAAGCAUCAAGAGAGUAAAAAGAGUGUUUCGGAAGAUAAUUUUUUUUCCAUCCACAUGCAAGUCGUGUUUUGGUCCUUUGCAACAAUCAUGGUAGUCACUGUUGGUUUUGUGCGUGGAGUGACAAAUACUUUAUUUGCCAUUGGUUGAUUACCCCAAAACAUGCCAUAUGACGACAAUGAAUGAAAAUAGCCAAAAUAAACAGCCUUAACAGAAAUGUGUACUCAUGAGCAGUGACUGGAUUUGGGGAUCUUGAAAAGUUGGGAAGACAUAAAAAGAAUUUUAAUGAAUAUGAUGGGACCUAUAAUCGAGCUCUAUUUGAAAAUUGAGAAGCUAACUGUUGCAAUAAGGAAAAGAAGACUACAGUUUUAUAGACAUAUAUACAAAAUAGGUAGUAACAAACUAACCAAGCAGAUUUUCAACUUACUAAACAACUACAGAUUCAACCCACAUGCUUAACUGAAAUUGACAGAGAUGUGAAAAACAUGGGCUUUAUAGAUAACAGAAUACUUUUCAGAGGAGCAACACAAAAGGUACAAUUUCAGGAAAGAAAGAAGUCUGCAAAAGAAAGGAAGUGAACCCACAAAGAAAAGACAAGCAGACAUUUGUGUGUGUGUUUUUUAUUGUGCCUACCAGCGCUUUCCCCUUUGGUAAGUGAUAUGUCUGCUUGUGUCUGUAUAUGUGCGGAUGGAUAUGUGUGUGUGUGCGCGCGAUUGUAUACCUGUCCCUUUUUCCCCCUAAGA